rnacentral:rRNA from 1 species
AUUGAACGCUGGCGGCAGGCCUAACACAUGCAAGUCGAGCGAGAGGCGGACUGGUGGGUAGUGUAUGGAGAUCUGCCUGAUGGACGGGGCUAACUACUGGAAACGGUAGCUAAUACCGCAUACCAUCAGAUGAACCCAUAUGGGAUUAGCUAGUAGGUGAGGUAACGGCUCACCUAGGCGACGAUCCCUAGCUGGUCUGAGAGGAUGAUGAGCCACACUGGGACUGAGACACGGCCCAGACUCCUACGGGAGGCAGCAGUGGGGAAGAUUGCACAAUGGGCGCAAGCCUGAUGCAGCCAUGCCGCGUGUAUGAAGAAGGCCUUAGGGUUGUAAAGUACUUUCAGUCGGGAGGCGUUACCGACAGAAGAAGCACCGGCUAACUCCGUGCCAGCAGCCGCGGUAAUUC